rnacentral:rRNA from 1 species
GAUGAACGCUGGCGGCGUGCCUAACACAUGCAAGUCGAGCGGAGAAUUGUUGCUUGCAACAAUUCUUAGCGGCGGACGGGUGAGUAACACGUGGGUAACCUGCCCUAAACAAAGGGAUAACAAUGAGAAAUCAUUGCUAAUACCGUAUAAGCUUACACUAUCGCAUGAUAGAGUAAGAAAAGAUUUAUCGGUUUAGGAGGGGCCCGCGUCUGAUUAGCUAGUUGGAGAGGUAACGGCUCACCAAGGCGACGAUCAGUAGCCGACCUGAGAGGGUGAUCGGCCACAUUGGGACUGAGACACGGCCCAAACUCCUACGGGAGGCAGCAGGGGGGAAUAUUGCACAAUGGAGGAAACUCUGAUGCAGCAACGCCGCGUGAAGGAAGAAGGUUUUCGGAUCGUAAACUUCUAUCUACAGGGAAGAAAAAAAUGACGGUACCUGAGUAAGAAGCCCCGGCUAACUACGUG